UGCUAUGUCCUGCGUGCAAUGGGGAGAAGAGUCCCUACCCUGACAUCACACUUCCAAGGCACAGGCACUGUCUGUCCUGAGCACCUCAUUUCAGGCUCCAAGCUCAGGAAACGCUCGCUCGCUACUGGAGGAAUGUUACAUCUUGAGACCUCAGGGGGCAACUGAAUAAUUAAAUUGAGAGAAAUCAAGACGAUAGUAUUCUAAGCAGCCAUAAAAAUGACUGAGUGCUGGCAUGGAACGGCGACCACAAUUCAUUGCUGAGUGCAAGGUAUGUUGCAAAAGACCAUAUACGUGUGCAUACAAUUCCUUUUUGUCUUGUAUAUAUAUACAUACAUAUAUACUCAUCCAUGCUUACAUGCACAUAUAUACCUAGAAGGGUCUGGAAGGAGACACCAGAAAGUGUUACCAAUGCUUAGUCACCUCUGAGGAAUGGGAUCCGGAGGAGGGUCAAGGGGAGAAAUUUCACUUGUUAUUUUAUGCAUUGCUAGAUUGUUCAAAAAGUUUACUGUGUGCAUAUGUUAUUUGUAUAUCUAACAAACAACAAAAACAAGAGUUGCUGGGUGGAAGAAGGGAUGCAGAGGGCCGAGUGAGGGCGCUCUGGCUCCUGACUCACACCCUCCACCACUCCUCCACGUGGCCUUCCUGGGCCUGCCAGGCAGUUCUGCUCAGCAGCUGUGCUGAGGACAAGCGCCCGCUUUCCUUCAUCCUUAGAAGCAGCCUUGGCUCUGUCUGGGGAGGAUGACGUCACAGCUGCUGAGGAAGAAACCACGCCCAGCCGGCAGAACCCCAGAGGGCCCACCCGAGAGCUCCAAAGAAGUAGGAGGAACCAGAGGUCACAUCGCUCAGGAGGAAGAAACCUGCAUUGGCCAAGAGAGGCAUCCUACAGAGAGGCCCAGUGAUGGCUAUACUGAGACCAGAGGUGUCAAAUUAAGAGUUGUACUGGCUUCUGUCGUGUGGAAACAGCUGUGCUCUGGUGGCAGGGGCAAUGCCCUUUGCCAGAGAAAACCUGGCCUGCCCCACCGCUUCCGGGCUGGUGACUUGGGCCUGUGGCUCGGCUUCCUUAAGGCUCAGUGUUUUUGUCUGAAAUUGAGAUGGGGCCGGGUGCGGUGGCUUAUGCCUGUAAUCCCAGCACUUUGGGUGACUGAGGCGGAAGGAUCGCUUGAGCUCAGGAGUUUGAGACCAGCCUGAGCAAUACAGUGAGACCCCAUCUCUACAAAAAAAUUUAAAAAUUUGCCGGGCAUGAUGGCGCAUGCCAGUGGUCCCAGCUACUCAGGAGAUGGAGGUGGGAGGAUCACUUGAGCCAGGGAGGUCCAGGCUGGAAUAAGCCAUGAUCACACCACUGGGCAACAGAGCAACUCUGUCUCAGAAAAAAAAAAAAAAAAAAAAACCCAAAACUGGAAAUGAUCAUAAUGGCUCCACUGGGGAGUUGGGAGGAUUCAAUGAGAUAUGGGGUACAGAGUCUUCUGGUGCACCCCGAAUAUAGGAAAUACUCCUCAUGCUUGCUGCAUGCUGGCAGGGGAGAAGUAAUAGGACACCUCUCUUCUGGCCACAGUGUGCCAGUUAAACAUGUUGCCCCUUGGUGACUCACUGUCUGGCUUCAAUCUGACCUUGCCGCAUGAUCUUUAGGCCCAUCAACCAGUUCCUCUGUGCCUCCGUGUCCUUAUUUCUAAGAGGGUAAUGAUGAUACUAUCUGCCUCCCAAGACUUAGGGGAGUUCAAUUCAUAUACGUGUAAAAUUUACAAGUGCCCAACACACAGUAAGCACUCAAUAAAUGUUAACUUUGCUAGUA